UACAGAGGUCUCAAGCGUUGUUCGGAUUCAUUGGGCGUAAAGGGUGCGUAGGUGGCGCUGUAAGUCGGGUGUGAAAUUUCGGAGCUUAACUCCGAAACUGCAUUCGAUACUGCGGUGCUUGAGGACUGGAGAGGAGACUGGAAUUCAUGGUGUAGCAGUGAAAUGCGUAGAGAUCAUGAGGAAGACCGGUGGCGAAGGCGGGUCUCUGGACAGUUCCUGACACUGAGGCACGAAGGCCAGGGGAGCAAACGGG
rnacentral:rRNA from 1 species